UACGAAGGGGGCUAGCGUUGUUCGGAAUCACUGGGCGUAAAGCGCGUGUAGGCGGAUCGUUAAGUCGGGGGUGAAAUCCUGAGGCUCAACCUCAGAACUGCCUUCGAUACUGGCGAUCUUAGAGUCCGGGAGAGGUGAGUGGAACUCCUAGUGUAGAGGUGAAAUUCGUAGAUAUUCGGAAGAACACCAGUGGCGAAGGCGACUUACUGGACACGUAUUGACGCUGAGGUGCGAAAGCGUGGGGAGCAAACAGG
rnacentral:rRNA from 1 species